rnacentral:lncRNA from 1 species
UAGUAGCUAACUGGCAUGACUCUCACUAAGAACACCCAACAAACUCAACUAAGUUUAUGAAUUUAUGAGGAAAAAAAAAACAGCAAACUCAUGGAGUUUCUAGACUUUAUUGAAUACAAUAAACCAAAAUAAUAAAAAAAAUAAUGCCGGGCAAAGGAAAAUCAACCGCUGCGAAUCUUCCUUCGUGGUGUUACAUAAAGAACACCACCUAGUUACUCAGGGCCUCAACGCACCAAUGAGCAGUGGAUUUACCAUGACUAAGUCGCAACACCUCAAAAAGCAGCUUUACAAGAUGAGGCACGACCAAAGCCAACCCAUAUAUGAGACAAUAGAUAGGCCAAAAGAAAAGUUGAUCAACAUAGGUCCACCAAAAGCCCAAAAACAUCGAAGAUUCGAC